GAUGAAGAACGCAGCGAAAUGCGAUAAGUAAUGCGAAUUGCAGAAUUUCCGUGAGUCAUCGAAUCUUUGAACGCACAUUGCGCCCGUCAGUAUUCUGACGGGCAUGCCUGUCCGAGCGUCAUUUCAACCCUCAAGCACUGCUUGGCGUUGGCGGAUUGCGUGCCCUCGCGGCGCUGCAACCGCCCAAAUACAGUGGCGGUCCCGCUGCGGCUCCCUUUGCGUAGUAACUCACCUCGCACUGGACCGGGCGGCGGCCUGCCGUAAAACCCCAACUCACGAAAUGUUGACCUCGGAUCAGGUAGGAAUACCCGCUGAACUUAAGCAUAUCAAUAAGCGGAGGA
rnacentral:misc_RNA from 1 species